rnacentral:rRNA from 1 species
AUUGAACGCUAGCGGGAUGCUUUACACAUGCAAGUCGAACGGCAGCGCGGACUUCGGUCUGGCGGCGAGUGGCGAACGGGUGAGUAAUGUAUCGGAACGUGCCCAGUAGCGGGGGAUAACUACGCGAAAGCGUAGCUAAUACCGCAUACGCCCUACGGGGGAAAGCAGGGGAUCGUAAGACCUUGCACUAUUGGAGCGGCCGAUAUCGGAUUAGCUAGUUGGUGAGGUAACGGCUCACCAAGGCGACGAUCCGUAGCUGGUUUGAGAGGACGACCAGCCACACUGGGACUUGGACACGGCCCAGAGUACUGCGGGAGGCAGCAGUGGGGAAUUUUGGACAAUGGGGGCAACCCUGAUCCAGCCAUCCCGCGUGUGCGAUGAAGGCCUUCGGGUUGUAAAGCACUUUUGGCAGGAAAGAAACGUCGCGGGCUAAUACCCCGUGGAACUGACGGUACCUGCAGAAUAAGCACCGGCUAACUACGUG